GACGAACGCUGGCGGCGUGCUUAACACAUGCAAGUCGAACGGAAAGGCCCUGCUUUUGUGGGGUGCUCGAGUGGCGAACGGGUGAGUAACACGUGAGUAACCUGCCCUUGACUUUGGGAUAACUUCAGGAAACUGGGGCUAAUACCGGAUAGGAGCUCCUGCUGCAUGGUGGGGGUUGGAAAGUUUCGGCGGUUGGGGAUGGACUCGCGGCUUAUCAGCUUGUUGGUGGGGUAGUGGCUUACCAAGGCUUUGACGGGUAGCCGGCCUGAGAGGGUGACCGGCCACAUUGGGACUGAGAGACAGCCCAGACUCCUACGGGAGGCAGCAGUGGGUAAUAUUGCACAAUGGGCGGAAGCCUGAUGCAGCAACGCCUCGUGCGGGAGGGCGGCCUUCGGGUUGUAAACCGCUUUCGCCUGUGACGAAGCGUGAGUGACGGUAAUGGGUAAAGAAGCACCGGCUAACUACGU
rnacentral:rRNA from 1 species